rnacentral:rRNA from 1 species
UACGAAGGGGGCUAGCGUUGUUCGGAUUUACUGGGCGUAAAGCGCGCGCAGGCGGCUUUGCAAGUCAGGGGUGAAAUCCCAGAGCUUAACUCUGGAAUUGCCUUUGAGACUGCUUGGCUUCGAGUACGGGAGAGGUGAGUGGAAUUCCCAGUGUAGAGGUGAAAUUCGUAGAUAUUGGGAAGAACACCGGUGGCGAAGGCGGCUCACUGGCCCGUUACUGACGCUCAGGCGCGACAGCGUGGGGAUCAAACAGG